AAAUUUCUUAUUUGCUAAAGAACCAUCGUGUCUUGCUUUCAAGAAUGCAAGUGCAAGGUCUUCAAGAAAUCCUGUGCAAAUUCCGGUCCUACUCUGUCCAUUAGGCGAAUGGUACUCUUGGACAGUAAAAGCCAUUUCAAGGCGUUUAUUUGCCAGACUUGGAUCAUUGGAGAUGGAAUACCAACGUGGCAUUAGCUGCGGAAGAGCGGAUAUUAAAUGAUCCACAGGAGGAUGGCAACUAGGAAAAGCCUCCAAUAUAUCAGGGAGAGUGACACAACUCUGGGUGCAUAUACGACAGUAAGAUUCGUCCUGCCUGAAAUCGGAAAGAGCUAAAAGGACAGAUUUUUCAACGGGAUUCAACGUAUGUUCAGCUAAGAGACGGAUAAGUGAUUUCGUUGGCGGUUUAGAAAUAAAAUCACUACACCACUUGAAAAUAUGAUACAAAGACGUAUAAAGACAACGUGGCUUAUCUUCUCCCCAGAUAGUGGGCCAUCUUCCUCCAUUGGUCCGAAGAACUUUAGUAACAUACAGCUCGUGCUGAGGUAUCUUCAGUAAGUGUGCUAAAUGCAAGACUUCAGCAUCUGAAUUGGGAGGCAUAAUACCAAAGGAACCUCCUAUUUUCCAAUCUUUCCCUUCAAGUAAAGGGUACUUCGAGAUAUCUAAGCAUAAAUUAUAAGUUCUUUUGACAGCACCAGGGUUAGUGAGAACUCGUACAUCAAGGAUAGGGGCCGCAAAAAUACCAUAUGGAGGAUGAGGUUGUACAAAAGAAGGAGGAUGAGGAGAAGUAGGAGAAUCAGAAAUAACGGUAUCUACAGGAGGAUUGGAAAUAGAGGGGAUGCCCAGGGAAACUCGUUUUGGAGGCAAAGGAUGGGGUUUUAAAGAGGGCCAAUGCUUUUGUAGAUCGGAAAGUUUAAUAGGAAGAGCUUGAAAAGCUGAAUUAUUACAAAGAGCUUUCAGUUGUCCAUUAAAUUGGAGAAACGAGGGUACUAAAAAUUGUGAUGAAGGAGGCGAUUUUGAUCCAUGGACUAGCCCAUGAGAAUGAUUGCUGUAAUAUCGAGAGUUAAGUAAUGUCCUUGGUAGAUUAUAUAGCCUCCUUGAGAAAGCUAACUCAUCGUAUGAAUGGAAGGAACUUUGAACAGAGCAUUUCGGGAAGUAUUUGACAAAACAUUUAUAGCUAGUCCGAACCUUCAAACAAGACGUAUCCUUAACGAGUACAUGAGAAAUCAUAGUAUAGGAACGAUGAGUUGAGAUAUGGAAAUGAUAUUUUUGUAAAUGUCAAUUCAAUGAAGUAAUUUCCAAAAAACAAAACAAAACUGCGGAUAGAAACAAGAAU